rnacentral:lncRNA from 1 species
ACAAUGAAGAGUAAUAUGUAUCAUAGGAUAUCCUUAAUACAACAGUUUAAAAUAGCAACAUCUUAUCCAAAAGGGAGGUCACUAUUUGCCUUUUGCAUUCUGGGUACUAUGUUAGCUUUCCACCUUUUCAUUAAUUUGAAACCUAACAUAGCAUUGAGAUAAAAUUAGUUGAUCAGAAUGGUUAGUGAACACUGCAACAAUUUUCUAUAAUUUUAUUUGUAAGUUCUAAAUAUUAGAGCUAUUCUCAUGUAUAGUUCCGUAAGUAUAAAGAAAAUGUUAUUCUAGUCUCACGAAAUAUUGAAAACCAUAGAGUAAUGUGCUAAGAAUAAUCUUACAUUAAAAUUUUCGUUAGUUAAAUACAAUUUGAGGGAACCACAACAGAACAUAUAUCAAACAUCCGUAUGUAAUGUAGAUAUUGAGGGAAGGAAAAUGGAGAAUCACAUCUUAUCUUGAUUCCACUGGAAUAUGAAAUAUAAACUAAUGAAGGUUAAACUCUAACAAACUAAGGAUGUCCACAUAAUAUUAGAAAGCCUCAAAACAUGUUCUUGUGCUAUUUUAUAACAAAAAAAUAAACUUGUUUACGGAAUACUUCCGUCAUGCUUCACUUUUUGACAGUAUAUCCCCUUUUGACACAUAAUAAGACUAUUUGGUUUUCAAUUUCAACCUAGAACUCAUUUAUCAGUAAUAAAUAUAUGUUGUCUUUGAAAGAUGAUCAAAAUUCCCACAAAUCGAGAUAUAAAAAAUAUAGAUAUGCCUAUCGAAACUCGAAAAAUGGAAAAACUUCUGAAUAAAACCAUUAAAUCUUUGCAUUAAUAAAUAAAAAUAAUGAGCUAUACAAACAAUUGCCACACAGUCUACUCUCACAGAUUGAAUAACAGUAGCUCAAAAAAGAUGGGAGAGUCUCAUACUACACCAUUACAGUGGCUCCAAACUCAUUAUUUUGAAAAAACGAUGUAUCAAAAUAAGAUCUACUUGCGAGAAAAUUGAAUUAACAUAUUUUAUUACACAAGGAGUUUCAUAGUUUUGCGCUUAGAUGAGGCAUUCGUAUAUGAGUUCUUUCUCCGUUAUUUGGACGAUCAAAAUAUAAGAAGUUGUUCAGUAAAUAAUUUUGAAAAAAUAAAAGAGAUAGAAAUAUGUAUCACAAGAUUAAAUUCAGUGUGUCUUUCCUUUGUGAAUCGCCAAAGACACUCUUAACAGUUCUUUAACACGGUUAAGUUUGGUACUACCUCCUUUAUGCAGCAUUAAAAGAUUUCUCCAAGUAGUUAAAAUUUUGUUAGUCAAAUUGCCAUUUUGCAUAAAAUCUACACUUUUCAAACCAUACUUUGUGGGAUUAUAAUGGAUAUGUUGUUGUUGUUGACUGCGAAAGUUAAAAGUUGCAUUUUGAAAGCCUCUUAUGUUAAACAACGGAUAAUGUACAUAUAAACGAAAGUUAACAAACAACAAAUAUACAAACGUUCAUCAUCCAACACUUAUUAUGAAUCACCUGAAAAUAGUCAUUAAUUAUCAUAUGAAGAAGACUACCAAAAAAAUUUUGAGAUGUAGAUCAUUCACUUGUACAUAUUUGAGAUUUACCUCGGUCAUCAUAUUAUCUAAUUUGUAGUUUAUUUAUAAAAUCCAUUUGAUAGGGAUUUAAUUAGGUGAGUUCUUCGUUCUUUGAAAUCUUUAAAUUAAGCCAAUAGAAGUGUUUGGGGAUGAGGCAUCUUCACUAUCUCUUCUCUAUUGCUCGUUGGAAUUGAUUAAAUCUACGGAAUCCAAAGAGAACAAAGAAUGAUUUCAAAUUUGAACAGUAUGAAAAAAGUAGGAAAAAUAUUUAACAAUAUAUUACUGCAAAUUUGAUCAUGUCUUGUCACUGAAACACAUUGUAACCUGAAAUCAAACAUAUACAGAGUAAAGAACAGAAUUAGGAACAUCAAAAAUUCAUUUCUUACCUCAUAAUCUAGCCAUUAAUUGUGAGUCCUCACUGAAAUUCGAGUAAAUCACAUCCUAAUAAUAACUUGAUCUGUGAGUCAUCACUAAAAUUCAAGUAAACCACAUCCUAAUAACAACUUGAUCUGGUUGAAUCCGAAAGUAUCAGAAGCCGAACAGUGAUUUACGUAGACAUGGUGAAUUCAUCGACAUUUUUUUUUUUUGGAAAACAUUAAAGUGGAAAAGGAAGUUAAAAGGGAGUUAUUUUAGGAGUUGGUAACUUGUCAAUUUGAAAAAUUUAAAGUGGAUAGACAUUACUAAAACUACCAAAAAAUUACAAUAUUUUGAUAUAUCAGUUACCACAAAUAUUUAUUUUCUGAUUUU